rnacentral:tRNA from 1 species
GGAGAGGUACCCAAGUGGCCAAAGGGGGCUGACUGUAAAUCAGCUGCGAAAGCUUCGGUGGUUCGACUCCGCCCCUCUCCA